rnacentral:rRNA from 1 species
GGUUGUCCUGCCAGUAGUCAUAUGCUUCGUUCAAGGGCUAAGCCAUGCAAGUCUCAGAGUACAUGGUUUCCACAAUGGGUCUGUGAAUGGCUCCUUACAUCAGCAGUCAUCUCCAUGCUAGAGUGCUGGAUAGCAUCACCUGCCAGAUGCUCUCUUGGACAUCCUCCAAAACCUAGUGGCUAAUACACGGUCGCCAAGGUCUGCCGCAUCCUCGUCCGCCGAGUGAUUUGCUCACUGGGAAACCAGUGGUGGAUUACGCCCAGCCGCCUGGAAGACCAGUGCCUGGCCAAAGGCAGCGAGUGUGGGUUGACUCAGGCUGGUUCCCUUGGGAACAACUGUGCUGGCAGAGUGGUGGCUAUGCCACAGCAUUGCUUGAGCAUCCGAGCUUCUGACCUAUCAGCUGUGAAUGUGGUGUAUUGGACCACAUUGGCUAUCACGGGUAACGGAGAAUCAGUGUUCGAUUCCGGAGAGGGAGCCUGAGAAACGGCUACCACUACCAAGGUGGGCAGCAGGCACGCAAAUUGCCCAAUGUCAAAGAGCUUCUGAUGAGGCAGCAACGAACUGCAGCAAUUCUGCCUAUCCUUUGUGAUCAGUGGAACUUGUAAUGGAUGCAAUCCAAACACAGUGAUGAGUAUCAACUGGAGGGCAAGUCUGGUGCCAGCAGCCGCGGUAAUUCCAGCUCCAAGAGCGUAUACUGACAUUGCUGCUGUUAAAACACUUGUAGUCUGAUGCUGGACACAGGUCUGCCAGGUGGCUGGUGGACUGGGUAGCAACCCCUUGGCCCCUCGGGGUCUUGGGGACUGCCCGGUCUGCUGGAACUCAACCCCUGGCGGUUUCCUCCUGUGUCCAUUCAUUGAACUGAUGGCUUGAUCCGCUCGUGCUUCAAGUCUCCUUCAGUGGAGGCCUUGAGUGGUUUCACAUCCAACGCCUGUGUGUCUGACGCAAGGGGACAUGGUCCCGUGCCAUGGAUGCCCCGGUCCACCACCCGAGCCAGCCAUCGAUGUCACCCUGGAAAACUCAGUGUGCUCAAAGCAACCAGUCUUGGCUGGAUGUCCAUCCAUGGAAUGACAAAGCAUCGACCUGAUGUGGCCUUGGAGUUGUGCUGGCCUUGGUGCUCAUCUCAGGGGAAUCUGGUGCCGUGGAGUCUGCCGUGGCGGGCAUUGCCCCACUCGUGGGGCAGUGUACUCCAAACUGCCUGGUGGACCUCCACACACCAUAUCGGGCUUGAUGGGAAGUCUCAGGGUGAAAGGUACUGCAGCGCCAGAGGUGAAAUUCUUAGACCGCCGCAAGACCAACAGCGGCGAAGGCGUUCUGCAAGUGGCUGUUCGUCGAUCAAGAAUGAGAGUGUGGGGUGCAAAGAUGAUCAGACACCGUCGUAGUCCACAACUGUAAACUAUGCCAGCCAGGCAUUGAUGGGGCAAGUACACGGACCCUCUCAGUGCCAUGCCCCCUACAACGAGAAAUCCACAGCCUGUGGGUUCAGGGGGGAGUACUGUCGCAAGGCUGAAACUUAAAGGAAUUGACGGAAUGGCACCACAAGGCGUGGAGUAUGCGGCUUAAUUUGACUCAACACGGGGAAUCUUACCAGGUCAGGACGUUGCUGGGAUUGACAGAUUGAGAGCUCUUUCUUGAUCCUUCGGAUGGUGGUGCAUGGCCGCUCCUGAUUGGUGGAGUGAUUUGUCUGGUUGAUUCCGAUAACGAGUGAGAUCUCUGCCUCCCACUAGCCUGCCCCUCGCAUUCUGUAGGGCCCAGCGCCAGUCAAGCCAGCCCCCUGGACGGCUCGCUGCCCAGUGGGGUUGGCCCUGAUGCUGCCCGAGAGGGGUCAGUUCAGCUUCUCUGAGGUGCUGUGUCUGCUUUCCAAAGGCACGCAUGCAAGAGCCAACAGCAGGUCUGUGAUGCUCCUAGAUGUCCUGGGCCGCACGCGCACUACAUUGCCUCAGUGAAUAUGUGACUCCAACUCACUCUCGUGAGGCCUGCCCAGAAGUGGGUGGGAAACCCUGGGAGCCUGAUGCGUCACGGGGAUAGAUGAUUGCAACUGUCUGCCUUGAACGUGGAAUGCCUAGUAUGCCUGGGUCAUCAGCCCAGACAGAUUGUGUCCCUGCCAUUUGUACACACCGCCCGUCGUUGCUACCGAUGGUACCAGGAUAGAGCCAUCAGGAGGCUCCCAGGGCCAGGUACUCCAACUGGCCCUGGGCCAAAAUUGGGCAAUGUCCUGGUGCUAGAGGAAGCAAAAGUCGUAACAAGGUUGUCGUAGGUGAACCUGGAA